UACGAAGGGGGCUAGCGUUGCUCGGAAUCACUGGGCGUAAAGCGCACGUAGGCGGCUUUUUAAGUCAGGGGUGAAAUCCUGGAGCUCAACUCCAGAACUGCCUUUGAUACUGAGAAGCUUGAGUUCGGGAGAGGUGAGUGGAACUGCGAGUGUAGAGGUGAAAUUCGUAGAUAUUCGCAAGAACACCAGUGGCGAAGGCGGCUACCUGGACCGAUAUUGACGCUGAGACGCGAAAGCGUGGGGAGCAAACAGG
rnacentral:rRNA from 1 species